CCCGAACGAGCGCCGGCCGGUUCGGCUUCGAUCCUGGGUGUUCGAUGAGGAAGCAUGUGGCCUCGGGGCUGAGAAGUGAGGAGACAGGAUGCGAGCCCAUGUACGACUCCAUUUCUCACUGAUUGGAGUGAUGAGGAAGAUUGAAGUCACCGAGGUGAGAGCGGAAGGUGGGCGGGUGUUCAGUGCUGUCUCCCAGCCUCUCGCUUGUUGGUGCUGGAGGAAGGUGUCUGCAGGUAACGGUCGCUCCCUCUCGGUCGCUGCCCCUGAAGGAAGGUCCCUGCACUCGAGUGGUCCCUCUCUCGCCCUCGCUCGAUGCUGCUGGAGUCCUGGGUCUCGGGCAAGGUUGAAUCAAUGCAAUUUCUGGAUUGGACUCUGACCUCGGAUCAAAAAGCAUCAAGAUCCAACAGUGGCAACAUAGAACAUAGUCUCCCUGCUGGAGAGACUCAGCGGUUUGAGCAGAAUCGCAGAAUCGGUGGGAGGAAAGCAACUGGCAAAUGUUUCCAUUUGAAACCCUGAGU